rnacentral:ncRNA from 1 species
CCGCCCAGUGCGCCGCCGACCGCUGCCUCGGUGUUGCCGCCAGCGAAUGCCGCGCCGCUGAUCAGGCCGAAGGAGAGCAGGAGUAUGGGUGCGUACUUCAUGACGUGAACCUCAGUGGUGAUGACGAGGCGAUCCUCGCUGGAGUGCAGACACCUUGCAAGCGUUUUUUAGUGAUUUUUCGAUUUUUUCAUUGCUUUGUAACUCAUUGUUUGCUAAGGGGAACUUUGCUGAAACGGGACGGUCGAUCCAAUUUUGGGAUUGUCCCGGCCGUUUUUCCGGCAGUCGCGGAAUUUUCGGUUUUCCCGUGUUUUGGCGAGCGUUCCGUGAACCGCGGUGGAAGUUCUUCCGC